rnacentral:rRNA from 1 species
AUACGGAGGGUCCAAGCGUUAUCCGGAAUCAUUGGGUUUAAAGGGUCCGUAGGCGGGCAAUUAAGUCAGAGGUGAAAUCCCACAGCUCAACUGUGGAACUGCCUUUGAUACUGGUUGUCUUGAAUUAUAGUGAAGUAGAUAGAAUAUGUAGUGUAGCGGUGAAAUGCUUAGAUAUUACAUAGAACACCGAUUGCGAAGGCAGUCUACUAACUGUAUAUUGACGCUGAUGGACGAAAGCGUGGGGAGCGAACAGGAUUAGAAACCCUAGUAGUCC